AUUGAACGCUGGCGGCAGGCUUAACACAUGCAAGUCGAGCGAGCGGCGGACGGGUGAGUAAUGUCUGGGAAACUGCCUGAUGGAGGGGGAUAACUACUGGAAACGGUAGCUAAUACCGCAUACAAUAAUUUGUCACCAGAUGGGAUUAGCAAUUCGGUGGGGUAAUGGCUCACCGAGGCGACGAUCCCUAGCUGGUCUGAGAGGAUGACCAGCCACACUGGAACUGAGACACGGCCCAGACUCCUACGGGAGGCAGCAGUGGGGAAUAUUGCACAAUGGGCGCAAGCCUGAUGCAGCCAUGCCGCGUGUGUGAAGAAGGCCUUCGGGUUGUAAAGCACUGUCAGCGAGGAGGCGUUACUCGAAGAAGAAGCACCGGCUAACUCCGUGUCAGCAGCCGCGGUAAUUC
rnacentral:rRNA from 1 species